rnacentral:rRNA from 1 species
CAGCCGUAAACUAUGCGCGUUAGGUGUAUCGGUGACCACGAGUUACCGAGGUGCCGAAGGGAAACCGUGAAACGUGCCGCCUGGGAAGUACGGUCGCAAGGCUGAAACUUAAAGGAAUUGGCGGGGGAGCACCACAACAGGUGGAGCCUGCGGUUUAAUUGGACUCAACGCCGGGAAGCUCACCGGAUAGGACAGCAGAAUGAUUGCCGGGCUGAAAGACCCUGCAUGACUAGCUGAGAGGAGGUGCAUGGCGUAGACGUCU